rnacentral:tRNA from 1 species
ACCUGGCUGGCUCGGUCAGUAGAGCAUGUGAUUCUUGAUCUCAGGGUUGUGAGUUCAAGCCUCAUGUUGGGUG